UGAGACUUCAUCAAGAUAAAAAGCUUCUGCACGGUGAAGGAAACAAUCAGCAAAACUAAAAGGCAACCGGCAAUCGAUGGAAUAGGAGAAGAUAUUUGCAAAUGACGUAUCAGAUAAAGGGUUAGUAUCCAAAACCUAUAAAGAACUUAUCAAACUCAACACCC